rnacentral:rRNA from 1 species
AUAUCAAUAAGCGGAGGAAAAGAAACCAACAGGGAUUGCCCUAGUAACGGCGAGUGAAGCGGCAACAGCUCAAAUUUGAAAUCUGGCCCUCGGGUCCGAGUUGUAAUUUGUAGAGGAUGCUUUUGGCGCGGUGCCUUCCGAGUUCCCUGGAACGGGACGCCUUAGAGGGUGAGAGCCCCGUACGGUUGGACACCAAGCCUCUGUAAAGCUCCUUCGACGAGUCGAGUAGUUUGGGAAUGCUGCUCUAAAUGGGAGGUAAAUUUCUUCUAAAGCUAAAUAUUGGCCAGAGACCGAUAGCGCACAAGUAGAGUGAUCGAAAGAUGAAAAGCACUUUGAAAAGAGGGUUAAAUAGUACGUGAAAUUGUUGAAAGGGAAGCGUUUGCGACCAGACCUUUUCCUAGCGGAUCAUCCGGUGUUCUCACCGGUGCACUUCGCUAGGUUUAGGCCAGCAUCGGUUUCCACAGGGGGAUAAAAGCUCUGGGAACGUAGCUCCCUCGGGAGUGUUAUAGCCCUCUGCAUAAUACCCUUGCGGGGACCGAGGACCGCGCUUCGGCAAGGAUGCUGGCGUAAUGGUCGUCAACGACCCGUCUUGAAACACGGACCAAGGAGUCGAACAUUUGUGCGAGUGUUUGGGUGUUAAACCCUCACGCGUAAUGAAAGUGAACGGAGGUGAGAGCCCUUACGGGUGCAUCAUCGACCGAUCCUGAUGUCUUCGGAUGGAUUUGAGUAAGAGCAUAACUGUUCGGACCCGAAAGAUGGUGAACUAUGCGUGGAUAGGGUGAAGCCAGAGGAAACUCUGGUGGAGGCUCGCAGCGGUUCUGACGUGCAAAUCGAUCGUCAAAUCUGCGCAUGGGGGCGAAAGACUUAUCGAACCAUCUAGUAGCUGGUUACCGCCGAAGUUUCCCUCAGGAUAGCAGUGUUGUUCUUCAGUUUUAUGAGGUAAAGCGAAUGAUUAGGG